rnacentral:rRNA from 1 species
CCUACGGGAGGCAGCAGUGGGGAAUAUUGCACAAUGGGGGAAACUCUGAUGCAGCGACGCAGCGUGCGUGAAGAAGUAUUUCGGUAUGUAAAGCUCUAUCAGCAGGGAGGAAAAUGACGGUACCUGACUAAGAAGCCCCGUCGAACUAGGUGCCAGCAGCCGCGGUAAUAUGUAGGGGGCGAGCGUUAUCCGGAUUUACUGGGCGUAAAGGGAGCGUAGACGGCCCGACAAGACAGAAGUGAAAGCCCAGGGCUCAACCGUGGGACUGCUGUGGAAACUGGGGGGCUGGAGUGCGGCGGAGGUAGGCGGAAUUCGUGGUGUAGCGGUGAAAUGCGUAGAUAUCACGAGGAACGCCGGUGGCGAAGGCAGCUUACUGGAGUGUUACUGACGUUGAGGCUCGAAGGCGCGGGGAGCGAACAGGAUUAGAUACCCCUGUAGUC